AACGAACGCUGGCGGCAUGCCUAACACAUGCAAGUCGAACGAAACCUUCGGGUCUCGUGGCGCACGGGUGCGUAACGCGUGGGAACCUGCCCUUAGGUUCGGAAUACCUCCCCGACAGGGGUGCUAAUACCGGAUAAUGUCUUCGGACCAAAGAUUUAUCGCCUUUGGAUGGGCCCGCGUUGGAUUCGCUAGUUGGUAGGGUAAAAGCCUACCAAGGCGCCGAUCCAUAGCUGGUCUGAGAGGAUGAUCAGCCACACUGGGACUGAGACACGGCCCAGACUCCGAGGGGAGGCAGCAGUGGCGAAUAUUGGACAACGGGCGAAAGCCUGAUCCUGCAAGGCCGCGUGAGUGAUGAAGGCCUUAGGGUGGUAAAGCUCUUGUACCCGGGAUGAUAAUGACAGUACCGGGAGAAUAAGCUCCGGCUAACUACGUG
rnacentral:rRNA from 1 species